AAGAAUUACCGGCGAGGGUUGUAGCUGGCCUUUCGGGGCACGUGCACGCCCGAGCCUAUAAUCCACAUACACCUGUGAACUUAAUGUAAGGGCCCGUAAAAGGGUCCCUUACGUCUCCAUAGACGCAUGUUUAAUAGAAUGUAAAAUCGCAUCCUUGCCUUAAAAAGCAUGGAUAAACUUUAUA
rnacentral:misc_RNA from 2 species